rnacentral:SRP_RNA from 1 species
CAUGGAGGGCUUCGGGCCGGCAAUCCGCCAAUCCGGUCAGGUUCGGAAGGAAGCAGCCGUAACGGAAUUUGCCGGGGUCGAUUGCUCUCCACCUUA